UACAGAGGUCUCGAGCGUUGUUCGGAUUCAUUGGGCGUAAAGGGUGCGUAGGUGGCGCUGUAAGUCGGGUGUGAAAUCCCCAGGCUUAACUUGGGAACUGCGUCCGAUACUGGAGGGCUUGAGUGCGGGAGAGGGAUGUGGAAUUCCAGGUGUAGCGGUGAAAUGCGUAGAUAUCUGGAGGAACACCGGUGGCGAAGGCGGCAUCCUGGACCGACACUGACGCUGAUGCGCGAAAGCCAGGGGAGCAAAACGGG
rnacentral:rRNA from 1 species